CAGCAGUAGGGAAUUUUCGUCAAUGGGCGCAAGCCUGAACGAGCAAUGCCGCGUGAGUGAGGAAGGUCUUCGGACUGUAAAGCUCUGUUGCCGGGGAAAAAGGGGAAAUGCAGGAAAUGGCAUUUCAUGGAUGGUACCCGGCCAGAAAGCCACGGCUAACUACGUGCCAGCAGCCGCGGUAAUACGUAGGUGGCGAGCGUUAUCCGGAAUGAUUGGGCGUAAAGGGUGCGCAGGCGGUCUGUUAAGUCUGAAGGCAAAGGGAUGAGCUCAACUCAUUUAUGAUUCAGAAACUGGCAGACUUGAGGACAGGAGAGGGCGGUGGAACUCCAUGUGUAGCGGUAAAAUGCGCAGAGAUAUGGAAGAACACCAGUGGCGAAGGCGACCGCCUGGCCUGUGACUGACGCUGAGGCACGAAAGCGUGGGGAGCAAAUAGGAUUAGA
rnacentral:rRNA from 1 species